GGAGAGAUGGUCGAGCUGGUUUAAGGCACCGGUCUUGAAAACCGGCGUACCUUUACGGGUACCGAGGGUUCGAAUCCCUCUCUCUCC
rnacentral:tRNA from 1 species